rnacentral:rRNA from 1 species
AAAUGAAUUGACGGGCACCCGCACAAGCGGUGGAGCAUGCUGUUUAAUUCGAAGAUACGCGAAAAACCUUACCUGGGCUUGACAUCCCACUGACCGAUAUAGAGAUAUAUCUUUCCCUUCGGGGACAGUGGUGACAGGUGGUGCAUGGUUGUCGUCAGCUCGUGUCGUGAGAUGUUUGGUUAAGUCCAAUAACGAGCGCAACCCUCAUCCUUAAUUGCUAACAUUUAGUUGAGAACCUUAAGGAUACUAUCGGUAAAAAACCGGAGGAAGGUGGGGAUGACGUCAAAUCAUCAUGCCCCUUAUGUCCAGGGCUACAGGCGUGCUACAAUGGCCGAUAUAAUAAGACGCAAUACCGCGAGGUGGAGCAAAUCUGCAAAGUCGGUCUCAGUCCGGAUUGGAGUCUGCAACUCGACUCCAUGAAGUUGGAAUCGCUAGUAAUCGUGAAUCAGAAUGUCACGGUGAAUACGUUCCCGGGUGUUGUACACACCGCCCGU